AAUGGGCGCAAGCCUGAUCUAGCCAUGCCGCGUGUGUGAUGAAGGCCUUAGGGUCGUAAAGCACUUUCGCCUGUGAAGAUAAUGACUGUAGCAGGUAAAGAAACCCCGGCUAACUCCGUGCCAGCAGCCGCGGUAAUACGGAGGGGGUUAGCGUUGUUCGGAAUUACUGGGCGUAAAGCGCGCGUAGGCGGGCUGGAAAGUUGGGGGUGAAAUCCCGGGGCUCAACCCCGGAACUGCCUCCAAAACUCCCAGCCUAGAGGUCGAGAGAGGUGAGUGGAAUUCCGAGUGUAGAGGUGAAAUUCGUAGAUAUUCGGAGGAACACCAGUGGCGAAGGCGGCUCACUGGCUCGAUACUGACGCUGAGGUGCGAAAGUGUGGGGAGCAAACAGGAUUAGAUACCCUGGUAGUCCACACCGUAAACGAUGAAUGCCAGUCGUCGGGGAGCUUGCUCUUCGGUGACGCAGUUAACGCUUUAAGCAUUCCGCCUGG
rnacentral:rRNA from 1 species